rnacentral:rRNA from 1 species
UACAGAGGUCUCAAGCGUUUGUUCGGAUUCAUUAGGCGUAAAGGGUGCGUAGGUGGCGCUGUAAGUCGGGUGUGAAAUUUCGGAGCUUAACUCCGAAACUGCAUUCGAUACUGCGGUGCUUGAGGACUGGAGAGGAGACUGGAAUUCAUGGUGUAGCAGUGAAAUGCGUAGAGAUCAUGAGGAAGACCAGUGGCGAAGGCGGGUCUCUGGACAGUUCCUGACACUGAGGCACGAAGGCCAGGGGAGCAAACGGG